CUGUUCGGUCGAGGGUCGGACGCCGUGUAAUGUGCUGAUAUCUGGAGCGCUGACCUUGGAGGUCUCGAGGGGGUCCCGAUUAGACGUUCCAUCCUUGUUUCCUGCGUCCUGACACGCCCUAGGUCGUUCGGUGGGAAGGCUGCAAAAAGAACGAUGGGACAGAAGCCUGUUCCCUAUCACGCCUUCCGUGACCCGUGUGUUAGGUGGGGAAGCGUCAGGUGCAUUAAAUGCCCUGGCUCUCGUGCGCGCGUCAGGCGGCGGACAGUGUCCUUUCGCUCGACGCCUCUCGGUUCGCUCGAGCCCGCUUCCGUAUUCGACGGCGGUUGUCGCUCGAGCCCUGAUCGAUUCGCUCGACGCUACUUCCGUCUUCGAGGCUGCGGCCGUCGAUGGCCGCGCGUGUGUACGGAUGAUCUCGUUAUACGCAUUGGUG
rnacentral:lncRNA from 1 species